AUGGCUGUCGUCAGCUCGUGUCGUGAGAUGUUGGGUUAAGUCCCGCAACGAGCGCAACCCCUACUGUGUGUUGUAUCACUCACACGGGACUGCCGAGAGAAACUCGGAGGAAGGUGGGGAUGACGUCAAGUCAGCAUGGCCCUUACGUCCUGGGCUACACCCACGCUACAAUGGCCGGUACAACGGGCGGCAAAACCGCGAGGUGGAGCAAAUCCCUUAAAGCCGGUCUCAGUUCGGAUUGUAGGCUGCAACUCGCCUGCAUGAAGCCGGAGUUGCUAGUAACCGCCGGUCAGCAUACGGCGGUGAAUAUGUUCCCGGGCCUUGUACACACCGCCCGUCACACCACGAAAGUCGGCAAUACCCGAAGCCGGUGGCCCAACUCGCAAGAGGGGGAGCCGUCGAAGGUGGGACUGGCGAUUGGGACUAAGUCGUAACAAGGUAGCCGUACCGGAAGGUGCGGCUGGAUCACCUCCUUUCUAAGGAGCACUGGCACCCCUUGGGGUGUCCAGGUAGCCCGCCGCAGCCUUGUUGUGUUGUGGGGGUUGCUCACGGGUGGAUCAUCGAUUAUUUGGCGCCGCGCAGUGGUGGUGGUUUGCAAGUACUGGCUUCUUGUCCUUCGGGGUAGGGGCCGUGGAAAGCGCCGCGACCGGUGGGUGGUGUCUGGCACGUUGUUGGGUCCUGAGGGCUCGGGCGCAAGCUCGGUGUUUUCAGUGGGCCUCACCUGUUCCCGUACCACCUGUCCUGCCUUUUUGUGGGGGUGGGGUUGGCGGGGGCCAGUUGGUGAUGGUGCCGCCCGUAUGUUGAGAACUACACAGUGGACGCGAGCAUCUUUGUGGCCAAGUUUUUAAGGGCGCACGGUGGAUGCCUUGGUACCAGGAACCGGAGAAGGACGUAGGAAUCUGCGAUAAGCCACGGGGAGUCGAUAACCAGACUGUGAUCCGUGGAUUUCCGAAUGGGGAAACCCGG
rnacentral:sRNA from 1 species